rfam:Poecilia formosa, whole genome shotgun sequence.
CAAACGGCUCUUUUAAGAGCCACACACUUUAUUUUAAGAGCUUGG